CUUCAGACUAAAUUAGAUUUAUAAAAUAAUUUUAUAUGAAAAGUUUCUAAUUGUUACUUCUGCUGUUGUGGUGGGACCAUAAAAUCAACCAAAUUCCUGCAAUUAAUUACAGGAGCUGGAUGACAAUGAUGACAAUGAUGACAGACCCGAAGAUAGAAACAUCUAAUUAGUUAA